AUCCAGUUGACGUGUCCCAAAUAGGGCGAAACGCGCGUCUUGAAU
rnacentral:hammerhead_ribozyme from 1 species